UUUGACGGCACGUUAUGUUUGGUCAUAAGGGGAAUUAGAUGUUAGCUGUAG
rnacentral:tRNA from 1 species